rnacentral:rRNA from 1 species
GUAACACAACUGCACAAAGGUAGCGUAAUCACUUGUCUUUUAAUUGAAGACCUGUAUGAAUGGCAUCACGAGGAUUUAACUGUCUCUAUUUUCUAAUCAAUAAAAUUGUUUUCUUCGUGCAGAAACGAAGAUGCUUAUAUAAGACGAGAAGACCCUGUGGAGCUUCAAGUAAACUAAGAGUGCCUCAAACACACCAACUUUACGCUUACUUUUGGUUGGGGCGACCAUGAAAAAUAAAAUAACUUUCAUAAGGAAUAGAAUAUCCUUAAACACGAACGACAGUUCUAAUUAUCAGAAUCUCUGACCCCCAAGACCCAGCA